rnacentral:rRNA from 1 species
UACGAGGGGGGCAAGCGUUGUUCGGAAUUACUGGGCGUAAAGCGUGCGUAGACGGUUACAUAAGUCGGGUGUGAAAGCCCCGGGCUCAACCUGGGAAUUGCAUUCGAGACUGCGUAGCUAGGGUGCGGAAGAGGGAAGCGGAAUUUCCGGUGUAGCGGUGAAAUGCGUAGAUAUCGGAAGGAACACCAGUGGCGAAAGCGGCUUCCUGGUCCAGCACCGACGUUCAGGCACGAAAGCGUGGGGAGCAAACAGG